CACCCGAUCUUCAACCUCAACUCAGGCUCUUUGUGCAGUGUCACAGUCCCACUCCCCUCUCUCCCAGACCGUGGCACAAUUCUAAUAGAAUGCUUUUCUCUCAUGUUAAGGUGCUCUGAGUGGAAGCACUGUCCACUGUUCUCAAGUGGUUUAUGAAAGAUGGAGCAUGGAUCUGAGGAAUAUAGAAGAUGUUGCCUUUGUAGAUGUUUGUCAUAAGAGUCUACACUUUUUUCAUCUAGUGGCUUUCCUCACCAAGCAAUCUUGGUGAUCAGGGCAAAUUCUUUUCAUUAAAAUCAAUGUCUCAUCCACUGGGGUAAUUUGCUCAUUAGAUUAAGUUGCCAAUGGCAGCUUUUCUGGAGUUGAGGGAGAGAAAUAAUUUCUUUUAAAUAAGUACCUCAAAGGAUGAGCAGGUGCAAGCAUGAUGGGAGGUUUCAGGCUGGUCAUUUGCAGAAUUCCUAUUCCUUUUAGUCUUUCUAAUUCCAGGUGCAGCUAACACAGUGAGAGUCGGAUGUACAGUGACCCCACAGAGUCUGAUUCACCUGCUCAUAUGCUGCUCUCUCAAUGGUUUGCAUGGAUAUUUGUUGGAGGUGCCCCGAUGGAGACCUAUGAGUGGUGGAGAGAAGUUAGCAAAAAGAAAUCAGAAGAGGAAGAAAAAAUAUUGGAAUGUACUUACACGGUGGUGCGCUGAAUGUGACUGUUGGGACCACGAGAGUGUUUGUUUCACUGUGCCUUUACUCAUUGUGCAAUUGUUUUAUUAUUAGUAUAUUUUAUUAUAA